AAAACUUUGAAAACCCAUUACAAGGCCUACAAUUGGCCACGUGUCCCAGCCAUCUCCAUCUUUCUUUUUGCUUUUGAGGGCACUUUGGUAAAUUCAACAUUAUACUACCUAACUCUAAAAGAUAACUUGACUUUUGUCUACUAUGAUUUGACAACAUUUAUUACCCAUUUAUCUUCCCAAUGUAUCUUUCUAACUCCAUAUCUAUCAUUUUCAUUUCUAAGAAAGACCUUCAUUAAUGUCCUGCACAUCUUCAUUUACAAUUUACUUCUUCAUUUAUUCCUUUCUCCAUUAAUGUCCAUUGAGACAAAUCCAUCAUAUAACCCGUUAAUGUCGCCGGGUAGAUCUUAUACUCAUUACUUUCUAUUGAAGCCACCAAAUCUGAGGAUCGAAGCAAUUAUCGAAGCUCUUCAAGAAAAGAAAGUGGUGAUUCUACUAGAUGACAUAUCCUGUUACUACAACCCGUAGCUACCUUACCAGGAUGGUGAUGGAUACAAGGGAAACAAGAUCCAAUUCUCGGGUCCGUUGGUUUCGUCAAACGUGGAUCAGAUGCUUAAGGAUCAUGACCAUGUUUAUGUUACAACACAACACAAUUAACACGUGUUAUAGUUUGAACUUCAGGACAUGCAUGUGUUACAUGUGACAUGAAACCCAUGUACAACAUAACACGUAUUAGUGCUAUGUAUUUUUGUUUACUAGUAAUAUGUAAUGUGAGACUCUUCUUGUUUUCUCUAGUACACGAUGUUAAAACGGUCUAGACUUAACACAUUUUCUGUUGGAGGCGCCCGUAUUUGUACCUUUACUGUUACA